rfam:Danio rerio chromosome 4, GRCz11 reference primary assembly.
GCAUUGGUGUUUCAGUGGUAGAAUUCUCGCCUCCCAAACGGGAGACCUGGGUCUGAUUCCCGGCCAAUGCA